rnacentral:rRNA from 1 species
AUUGAACGCUGGCGGCAGGCUUAACACAUGCAAGUCGAGCGGAGAUGAGGUGCUUGCACCUUAUCUUAGCGGCGGACGGGUGAGUAAUGCUUAGGAAUCUGCCUAUUAGUGGGGGACAACAUUCCGAAAGGAAUGCUAAUACCGCAUACGCCCUACGGGGGAAAGCAGGGGAUCUUCGGACCUUGCGCUAAUAGAUGAGCCUAGGUCGGAUUAGCUAGUUGGUGGGGUAAAGGCCUACCAAGGCGACGAGCUGUAGCGGGUCUGAGAGGAUGAUCCGCCACACUGGGACUGAGACACGGCCCAGACUCCUACGGGAGGCAGCAGUGGGGAAUAUUGGACAAUGGGCGGAAGCCUGAUCCAGCCAUGCCGCGUGUGUGAAGAAGGCCUUUUGGUUGUAAAGCACUUUAAGCGAGGAGGAGGCUACCUGGAUUAAUACUCUAGGAUAGUGGACGUUACUCGCAGAAUAAGCACCGGCUAACUCUGUGCCAGCCGCCGCGGUAAAAC